rnacentral:rRNA from 1 species
UAGGGAAUAUUGCAUAAUGGGCGAAAGCCUGAUGCAGCAACGCCGCGUGUGCGAUGAAGGCCUUCGGGUCGUAAAGCACUUUUUGAGGGGAUGAGGAAGGACAGUACCCUCAGAAUAAGCCUCGGCUAACUACGUGCCAGCAGCCGCGGUAAAACGUAGGAGGCGAGCGUUAUCCGGAUUUACUGGGCGUAAAGCGCGUGCAGGCGGAUUGGAGAGUUGGAUGUGAAAGCUCCCGGCUUAACUGGGAGAGGUCGUUCAAUACUUCCAGUCUUGAGUGCAGUAGAGGGAAGUGGAAUUCCGGGUGUAGUGGUGAAAUGCGUAGAUAUCCGGAGGAACACCAGUGGCGAAAGCGGCUUCCUGGACUGUAACUGACGCUCAGACGCGAAAGCUAGGGUAGCAAACG